rnacentral:other from 1 species
AUUCCCCUGGGACGUUGGUGGAUGCAGGCUGUGAUGAGCCAACGUCAAUGAACCGGGAGCUCUCAUACUGCUCUGUGGACGCCAUGCCCCCUCGGGGGAUCGCGGAAGCGGCGGUGCGGGCACCCACCUAUCAGGUUCGGUUCAUUCACGUUGCAUACACGGCGUCUCCGGGGGAUUC